rnacentral:rRNA from 1 species
AGAGUUUGAUCCUGGCUCAGAUUGAACGCUGGCGGCAGGCUUAACACAUGCAAGUCGAGCGGGGUGAUGUAGCUUGCUACAUUACCUAGCGGCGGACGGGUGAGUAAUGCUUAGGAAUCUGCCUAUUAGUGGGGGACAACAUUCCGAAAGGAAUGCUAAUACCGCAUACGCCCUACGGGGGAAAGCAGGGGAUCUUCGGACCUUGCGCUAAUAGAUGAGCCUAAGUCAGAUUAGCUAGUUGGUGGGGUAAAGGCCUACCAAGGCGACGAUCUGUAGCGGGUCUGAGAGGAUGAUCCGCCACACUGGGACUGAGACACGGCCCAGACUCCUACGGGAGGCAGCAGUGGGGAAUAUUGGACAAUGGGCGAAAGCCUGAUCCAGCCAUGCCGCGUGUGUGAAGAAGGCCUUUUGGUUGUAAAGCACUUUAAGCGAGGAGGAGGCUACCGAGAUUAAUACUCUUGGAUAGUGGACGUUACUCGCAGAAUAAGCACCGGCUAACUCUGUGCCAGCAGCCGCGGUAAUACAGAGGGUGCGAGCGUUAAUCGGAUUUACUGGGCGUAAAGCGUGCGUAGGCGGCUUUUUAAGUCGGAUGUGAAAUCCCUGAGCUUAACUUAGGAAUUGCAUUCGAUACUGGGAAGCUAGAGUAUGGGAGAGGAUGGUAGAAUUCCAGGUGUAGCGGUGAAAUGCGUAGAGAUCUGGAGGAAUACCGAUGGCGAAGGCAGCCAUCUGGCCUAAUACUGACGCUGAGGUACG